ACGGGGUGCAGCAGGCGCGAAAACUCCGCAAUGCACGCAAGUGUGACGGGGGAACUCCGAGUGCUGCUGGAUUUAAUCCAGUGGCUUUUCUGGAAUGUAAAUAGUUCCAGGAAUAAAGGUUGGGUAAGACCGGUGCCAGCCGCCGCGGUAACACCGGCAACCUGAGUGGUGGCCGCGAUUAUUGGGCCUAAAGCGUUCGUAGCCGGACUGGUAAGUUUCCUGGUAAAUCCGCCAGCUUAACUGUCGGAAUUCAGGAUAUACUGCCGGCCUUGGAGCCGGGAGAGGGUGCGGGUACUUCAGGGGCAGGAGUGAAAUCCACUGAUCCUUGAGGGACCACCUGUGGCGAAGGCGCGCAUCCAGAACGGACUCGACGGUGAGGAACGAAACCCUGGGGAGCAAACGGGAUUAGAUACCCCGGUAGUCCAGGGCGUAAACGAUGCCCGUUUGGUGUUGCAUGCUCUACGUGGGCAUGCAGUGCCGUAGCGUAGGUGUUAAACGGGCCGCCUGGGGAGUACGGUCGCAAGACUGAAACUUAAAGAAAUUGACGGGG
rnacentral:rRNA from 1 species